rnacentral:sRNA from 1 species
AGGGUUGGCCACCUUGAGAAGCUGCGAAGAUGGCGGAGUAAGGCGUGCCGCUGUAAACUGGCCUCUGGGCCGGGGGCGAGCAGCCCCCGGGAGGCCGAGUGCAUCUGUUGGACCGUGCGAGGAGAAGAAAAAAAAGAUCGGCCAGAGGAGAGGAACUAACCGAACAUUCUUCCUCCCUACCUUAUAGAGGGGAGUGGUCAUCUACACUAAAGCAAAGUGUCAGGCGCGUCCGUGCCAAGAGACCACCAAACAGGCUUUGUGUUCCUUAUCACAGGAAGAAAAUUUUCCUUGACCUUUAGGUGCUUUUAUAUUCAUCUCAAAAACAAAAUUCUGAACUCAGGACUUGGCAAGUAAGUAAUUGUGGGCUAAUCGUUCCAAAUACUGUUUAAGCAGCUUGAAAACAGGUACAUAGAAGUGGAACAAUAAGCCGUUAGCUUCAGCAGAAGACGAACAUGAAAAAUGACUGUAAGCUAUUGAAAUUUAAGUUAAAUCUUUUAUUUUUCAACAAAAGAAAUGUAUUAAAUAAAAAGGAGUAAUCUUGAUCAUUUGCUCAAACUACCAAUAAUUUUUACUGUCUAAAGAAAACAGACACAUAUUUAAUUAGAUUGAAGGAAAUCAAAUGAUUGAAAAAUAGGCCUGGCCCGGUGGCUCACGCCUGUAAUCCCAGCAGUUUGGG